AAAGGACUCCAAGCCCAUCAAAUCCGGCUGAUCCCCACCUUGUCACCAGCCCAGAGCACUGAGUGCCACACCCAGGCCUUCCUUGGACACCUCCAGAUUCCUCCAGACUCCUGGGCAGCCCCUUCCAAUGUUUAACAUCUCUUUCCUUGAAGAAAUUCUUCCUGAUGUCCAGCCUGACCCUCUCCUGGUACAGCUUGUUUGCUGAGUUUGGGUCAGAGCUUGUGCUUGCAGCCCCAGUUAACCUUUCUGCAAGGAAAAACCCAACCUAAGCAGCAGAAAAUGUCAGGAAAAUUAUGUUAAUUUGCAGAGUGAAUUUUCUUCAGGACCUCAAAGAACAAAAGCACUUCCAAAAGCUCUCAAAGUCAUUUCCACCCAGAACCUCGAGAUUUCCAAGGAUCCUGUCCAAAACUCUGCAGGAUCAAGCUUUGUACCUGCCCUUCCUGGUGCAAGCAACUCUUUUCAUUAGAGAAACUGCCAGAGCCUUGGCCAGCAAGAGAAAAGGAAGGAAGAGCAUAAAGACAGUUGAAAACAGCAAAAAAAAACCCAACCCCAGCACUGAGGGAAGAGGAGGAAGCUCAGGAGAUUAAGUGUUUAGCAAGGAUGAACUCAAACAAGCACACACAGGGGAUACUUCUGAAUCAAGUGGAAAAUACUCCACAUGCCUUUCUCUCAAAAUCCCACAUAUUCCUGGAGAAAACUGAUCACCACCAAACCUGACCAGCUGCAGUUUUAAAAGCACUCUCUCCACAUUGCUCAGGGUGGGACAGGCUUCCCAUUUGCCUCACUUUUAGCUGGCUGGCCAAGGGAGAAUGGGAAAAGCAGAGUUUCCUUUUGGCCCAGUUUUCCUUGAAGCCUGGGAGCUGAAUUCCACUCCUGACUUUGAAUCAUUGAGACUUGCUGUUGGAGCACAGUCAAGUCACAUCCCUCACCUCCCUGUGAUUCAAGAAGCCUGGCUUUUAAGGGAAAAAAUAUGCAGAAAGAGCCCGUAAAGGCAGGGUCUGGAUCCAAGAAGAGUUGUGGUGGAUUAAGAGAUUAAAAGUGUGGAAGUCUGUGAAGAUAAAAUUCACAAAAGGAGGAACGUGGUGCUCCUGUCAGAUGGAGCUUUGUCCAUUUUCCUGGGAUUUUGGAGAUAUUUCCACUGCCUCACAAGAGGCUCUGGUCCCAAAGCAGGCUGUGGUAAUGGUGUGUGAGGAUGUGUGAAUGCCAGCCUGGAACCAGCUCAUUACCUAAAUGGGGCUGGUGUCAGAUGGCAACGGGGAGAAGCUUCUCCCACCUUGUAAAUUCUUUGCAUAAUAGAGGAAAUAAACCCCAUUGUUUUUAUGAACUGGUAAUGAAG
rnacentral:lncRNA from 1 species